rnacentral:rRNA from 1 species
UACGAAGGGGGCUAGCGUUGCUCGGAAUCACUGGGCGUAAAGCGCACGUAGGCGGAUCUUUAAGUCAGGGGUGAAAUCCCAAGGCUCAACCUUGGAGCUGCCUUUGAUACUGGGGAUCUCGAGUCCGGAAGAGGUUGGUGGAACUCCGAGUGUAGAGGUGAAAUUCGUAGAUAUUCGGAAGAACACCAGUGGCGAAGGCGGCCAACUGGUCCGGCACUGACGCUGAGGUGCGAAAGCGUGGGGAGCAAACAGG